GAAACUUGCCCCGAGAUGAGUUCUCCCUGACUCCUUGAGAGUCCUGAAGGAACGUUGAAGACGACGACGUUGAUAGGCCGGGUGUGUAAGCGCAGCGAUGCGUUGAGCUAACCGGUACUAAUGAACCGUGAGGCUUAACCUUAC
rnacentral:rRNA from 1 species